UUCCAAUUUCAGCUUGCACGUAAGCCUCUCAUUCACGGGCCCGGGAUCCGAUUAGCUCAGUAACACGUGGAGAACGUGCCCUUAAGUGGGGGAUAAUCUCGGGAAAUUGAGGAUAAUACCCCAUAGGUCAUGGGAUCUGGAAUGACCCAUGGCUGAAAGUUCCGGCGCUUAAGGAUCGCUCUGCGGCCUAUUUUUUUUUUUGUGGGUGUAACGUACCCCCUAGCCUACGACGGGUAUGGGCCUUGAGAGAGGGAGCCCAGAGUCGGACAAAAACCACACGAAUCCAGGCCCUACGGGGCGCAGCUUUUCUUUUUUACUUCACACUGGGGGGAACCCCCCCCGAGGGAAUUCCUAGUGCUUGGGCAUUUGUCCAAGCUUUUCCCGAGCGUAGAUAACUCGGGGAAUAAGGGCUGGGUAAGACGGGUGCCAGCCGCCGCGGUAAUACCCGCAGCCCAAGUGGUGGUCGAUUUUAUUGAGUCUAAACGUUCGUAGCCGGUUUGGUAAAUCCUUGGGUAAAUCGAGAGGCUUACUUCUCGAAUUCGAGGAGACUGCCAAACUUGGGACCGGGAGAGGCGAAGAGGUACUUCUGGGGUAGGGGUUAAAUCCUGUAAUCUGAAGACCACGGUGGCGAGCGUCUCGCUAGAACGAUCGACGGUGAGACGAGCUUGGGUCACCUGAUAAUCCUGUAGUCAGGUUACCCUGCACUUGGGUGGAGCUUCGGGCAUCAUGCCGGGACGACAGUUGUAUGG
rnacentral:rRNA from 1 species